rnacentral:rRNA from 1 species
UGGGGAAUAUUGCACAAUGGGCGAAAGCCUGAUGCAGCAACGCCGCGUGAGUGAUGAAGGCCUUCGGGUUGUAAAGCUCUGUCUUUUGGGACGAUAAUGACGGUACCAAAGGAGGAAGCCACGGCUAACUACGUGCCAGCAGCCGCGGUAAUACGUAGGUGGCAAGCGUUGUCCGGAUUUACUGGGCGUAAAGGAUGCGUAGGCGGAUUUUUAAGUGAGAUGUGAAAUACCCGGGCUUAACUUGGGUGCUGCAUUUCAAACUGGGAAUCUAGAGUGCGGGAGAGGAGAAUGGAAUUCCUAGUGUAGCGGUGAAAUGCGUAGAGAUUAGGAAGAACACCAGUGGCGAAGGCGAUUCUCUGGACCGUAACUGACGCUGAGGCAUGAAAGCGUGGGUAGCAAACAGGAUUAGAUACCCUGGUAGUCCACGCCGUAAACGAUGAGUACUAGGUGU